UUUUUUACUUGUGUAUAGAGUCUGUUCCUUCAGUCUUUCUUGACGUGAAGUUAUGCUGAAGUCAAAAGGGAUAAAAUAAAAGGAAAGCAGUCAUUGCCUUUGGAAUACAGGAGGUUAGCAGACAGAAAAGAUCUAUUUACUUCAUACUUUCUAAAACAUCUGGAAACAGAAGCUGAGUGAGAGGAGGACAGUGAAAGCUCAAG
rnacentral:lncRNA from 1 species